GAUGAACGCUGGCGGCGUGCCUAAUACAUGCAAGUCGAGCGAACAGACGAGAGUGCUUGCACUCUCUGACGUUAGCGGCGGACGGGUGAGUAACACGUGGGUAACCUACCUAUAAGACUGGGAUAACUUCGGGAAACCGGAGCUAAUACAGGAUAAUAUUUAGCUUUGCAUGAAGCAAUAGUGAAAGACGGUUCUGCUGUCACUUAUAGAUGGACCAGCGGUGUAUUAGCUUGUUGGUGAGGUAAUGGCUCACCAAGGCAAUGUUACAUAGCCGACCUGAGAGGGUGAGCGACCACGCUGGGACUGAGGCACGGCCCAGACUCCUACGGGAGGCAGCAGUAGGGAAUUUUCCGCAAUGGACGAAAGUCUGACGGAGCAAUGCCGCGUGAGUGAAGAAGGUUUUCGGAUCGUAAAACUCUGUUGUAAGGGAAGAACAAGUACGUUAGUAACUGAACGUACCUUGACGGUACCUUACCAGAAAGCCACGGCUAACUACGUG
rnacentral:rRNA from 1 species